rnacentral:rRNA from 1 species
AUGGAAACCUGUUCAAAGCCAAGAGCAAGGGUUCGACGUUUUGGACAAUGUAGCCAAAUGGAAUGGUCCCUCGGCUCGUGUAUCGUGUGUGGGAAUCACGAGGACGCAAACCAUGUCUUUUUUCAAUGUGCGUUAGCUAGGUUUGCGUGGAGUGCGGUGAGGGAAGCUUUCCAGCAAAAUUGGAGCCCCGCGUCGUGCUCUGACUUGCUCCAGAUAGUGCAAACCCAGAAGGGAACUAGUGGGCGGAUUGUUUGGAGAUGCGUAGGGGCGCUUCUGUGGGCUCUACGGACUAUUAGAAACAAAAUGACUAUUGAAAAAAAGUUCCCUUCCCACCCCGCUGAUGUUAUAUUUAAAUGCCAUCUCUUCUUACAGAUGUUGACACCGUUGGGGAAGCAGCGCGAUGCUGAGCAGAUGUCGGAGGCCAUGGAGAAGAUUAGAAGCACUUUGACGACGGCGCGUCACCCUCCGUAG